rnacentral:rRNA from 1 species
CCUACGGGUGGCAGCAGUGGGGAAUAUUGGACAAUGGGGGCAACCCUGAUCCAGCCAUGCCGCGUGUGUGAAGAAGGCCCUCGGGUUGUAAAGCACUUUCAGUGAGGAAGAACGCCUGGUGGUUAAUACCCAUCAGGAAAGACAUCACUCACAGAAGAAGCACCGGCUAACUCCGUGCCAGCAGCCGCGGUAAUACGGAGGGUGCGAGCGUUAAUCGGAAUUACUGGGCGUAAAGCGCGCGUAGGUGGCUUGAUAAGCCGGUUGUGAAAGCCCCGGGCUCAACCUGGGAACGGCAUCCGGAACUGGCAAGCUAGAGUGCAGGAGAGGAAGGUAGAAUUCCCGGUGUAGCGGUGAAAUGCGUAGAGAUCGGGAGGAAUACCAGUGGCGAAGGCGGCCUUCUGGACUGCCACUGACACUGAGGUGCGAAAGCGUGGGUAGCAAACAGGAUUAGAUACCCUGGUAGCC